GGAGCCUGCGGCUUAAUUUGACUCAACACGGGAAACCUCACCCGGCCCGGACACGGACAGGAUUGACAGAUUGAUAGCUCUUUCUCGAUUCCGUGGGUGGUGGUGCAUGGCCGUUCUUAGUUGGUGGAGCGAUUUGUCUGGUUAAUUCCGAUAACGAACGAGACUCUGGCAUGCUAACUAGUUACGCGACCCCCGAGCGGUCGGCGUCCCCCAACUUCUUAGAGGGACAAGUGGCGUUCAGCCACCCGAGAUUGAGCAAUAACAGGUCUGUGAUGCCCUUAGAUGUCCGGGGCUGCACGCGCGCUACACUGACUGGCUCAGCGUGUGCCUACCCUACGCCGGCAGGCGCGGGUAACCCGUUGAACCCCAUUCGUGAUGGGGAUCGGGGAUUGCAAUUAUUCCCCAUGAACGAGGAAUUCCCAGUAAGUGCGGGUCAUAAGCUUGCGUUGAUUAAGUCCCUGCCCUUUGUACACACCGCCCGUCGCUACUACCGAUUGGAUGGUUUAGUGAGGCCC
rnacentral:rRNA from 1 species